rnacentral:rRNA from 1 species
GAUGAACGCUGGCGGCGUGCCUAAUACAUGCAAGUCGAGCGAACGGACGAGAAGCUUGCUUCUCUGAUGUUAGCGGCGGACGGGUGAGUAACACGUGUAUAACCUACCUAUAAGACUGGGAUAACUUCGGGAAACCGGAGCUAAUACCGGAUAAUAUUUUGAACCGCAUGGUUCAAAAGUGAAAGACGGUCUUGCUGUCACUUAUAGAUGGAUCCGCGCUGCAUUAGCUAGUUGGUAAGGUAACGGCUUACCAAGGCAACGAUGCAUAGCCGACCUGAGAGGGUGAUCGGCGACACUGGAAGUGAGACACGGUCCAGACUCCUACGGGAGGCAGCAGUAGGGAAUCUUCCGCAAUGGGCGAAAGCCUGACGGAGCAACGCCGCGUGAGUGAUGAAGGUCUUCGGAUCGUAAAACUCUGUUAUUAGGGAAGAACAUAUGUGUAAGUAACUGUGCACAUCUUGACGGUACCUAAUCAGAAAGCAACGGCUAACUACGUG